UUUUAGUUAUAUAUGGAUACAAUAUCUUUGUUUAUUUUUAUGUGCUGUUGAGGAUGGAGCCCAGUGCCUCACAUGUGCUAGGCAAGUGCUCUGCCACUGAGCCACAACCCAGCCCCUUGAGAUUUUUUUAAUAACUGAAACUUUUUAAUAACUGAAAUGUUAUACAUAGGAAUUACAAAUUUAAAAAGCCAGUGCAUGGAGGUGUGCACCUGUAUUCCCAGCGACCCUGGAGGCUGAGGCAGGAGUAUUGCAAGUUCAAGCCAGCCUCAACAAUUUAGUCAAGCCCUGAGCAAUUUUAAUGAAACCCCGUCUCAAAAUAAAAUAAAGGGCUAAGGAUGUGGUUCAAUGGUAAAGCACCAGUAGGUUCAAUCCCCAGUACAAAACAAUAAAAAGCUGGCCAGGUGCAGUGGUACAUGCCAGUAAUCCUAGCAGUUCAGGAGGCUGAAGCAGGAGGAUUACAGAUUCAGAGCCAGCCUCAUCAACUUGUGCAAGGCCCUACGCAACUUAGACUAUGUCUCAAAAAAUUUUUUAAAGAGCUGGGUACUUAGCUCAGUAGUAAAGCUCCCCUGGAUCAAUCCCCAAUACCAAGUAAAUAAAUCUAAAAGUCAGAGCAAGCAAGGUAGCACAUGCCACUAAUGCUAGCUCUCCCAGAGACUGAAGCAGGAAGGUUAUAAAUUCAAGGUCAGCCUGGGCAAUUUAGCCAGACUCUGUCUCAAAACUUAAAAAAUGGGUAAGGGGAUAGCUUAGUGGCAAAGCACUCCUGAGUUCAGUCCCCAACACGUACAAAAAUAAAUCUUAGUUCCCUGGACUUUAAGCCCUGUUGCCCCUGUAAUCUGUAUCUAAAGAAUUGAAAGCACUGGCCAGACUUGGGCAUACACUCUAGUCUCAGGUACUAGGAAGGCUGUCUGUGGUUCAUAAUCAGUCUAAGCAAUUUUAAAAGGCUGGGUGUGGUGGUACACCCCUGUAAUUCCAGUUAUUCAGGAGGCUGGGGCAGGAGAAUUGUAAAUUCAAGGCCAGUCUGGGCAACUUAGCAUAGUCCUAUCUCAAAAUGAAAAAGUAAGUUGCAAGGGGAAUGUCCCACUUCCCUGUGUUUUUUAAUGUGUAAUGUCUGUAACUGGAGAGAUUAUAUUACAUAAUACAGGCAUCAAAAGUAGAAGCACAUGGUAACAUCACUACCAACUACAGACCAUUCACAUUUCUCAAUAAUGUCCUUACCACAUAAAAGCUCAUUGUGUUACAUUUAAUAGUUCUAUCUCGAUCUCCUUUAGCCUAGAACAAUUCUUCAGGCUCGCUCCCUUAACCUUGACAUUGUAAGACUACAGGCUGUUUUAUAAACUGUAAGAUUUGUUGGUGUUUCCUCAUGAUUUAGUUCAGAUUAUGCAUUUGGGGCAGUUAUAUCAAGUGAUGUUGUAUUCCUUUCAUUGGUUUAGGUGAUAAUUUCCCUAUUGGUGAUGUCGAUUAAACUAUGUGAUAUCUGCUGGGUCCCUGUUUUAGUCAGC
rnacentral:lncRNA from 1 species